rnacentral:rRNA from 1 species
AACGAACGCUGGCGGCAUGCCUAACACAUGCAAGUCGAACGAAGGCUUCGGCCUUAGUGGCGCACGGGUGCGUAACGCGUGGGAAUCUGCCCUUUGUUUCGGAAUAACAGCUGGAAACGGCUGCUAAUACCGGAUGAUGACGAAAGUCCAAAGAUUUAUCGCCAGAGGAUGAGCCCGCGUUGGAUUAGGUAGUUGGUGGGGUAAAGGCCUACCAAGCCGACGAUCCAUAGCUGGUCUGAGAGGAUGAGCAGCCACACUGGGACUGAGACACGGCCCAGACUCCUACGAGAGGCAGCGGUGGGGAAUAUUGGACAAUGGGCGAAAGCAUGAUCCAGCAAUGCCGCGUGAGUGAUGAAGGCCCUAGGGUUGUAAAGCUCUUUUACCCGGGAAGAUAAUGACUGUACCGGGAGAAUAAGCCCCGGCUAACUCCGUG